rnacentral:rRNA from 1 species
GCCUAUGCAUCAUGAUUUACAUUUGAGUGAGUGGCGAACUGGUGAGUAACACGUGGGAAACCUGCCCAGAAGCGGGGGAUAACACCUGGAAACAGAUGCUAAUACCGCAUAACAACUUGGACCGCAUGGUCCGAGCUUGAAAGAUGGCUUCGGCUAUCACUUUUGGAUGGUCCCGCGGCGUAUUAGCUAGAUGGUGGGGUAACGGCUCACCAUGGCAAUGAUACGUAGCCGACCUGAGAGGUAAUCGGCCACAUUGGGACUGAGACACGGCCAAACUCCUACGGGAG